rnacentral:rRNA from 1 species
UACGACUACAUAUCAGGCAUAUCAAUAAGCGGAGGAAAAGAAACUAACAAGGAUUCCCUUAGUAACGGCGAGUGAAGCGGGAAGAGCUCAAAUUUGAAAUCUUCAAGGUUUUACCUUGACGAAUUGUAGUUUAAAGAAGUGUUUUCUGUUGAAGUUUUGGUAAAAGUUCUUUGGAAUAGGACAUCAUAGAGGGUGAGAAUCCCGUAUUUGACCAUUAUUUCCAGCUUUGUGAUACACUUUCAAAGAGUCGGAUUGUUUGGGAAUGCAGUCCAAAAUGGGUGGUAAAUUUCAUCUAAAGCUAAAUAUUGGCGAGAGACCGAUAGCGAACAAGUACCGUGAGGGAAAGAUGAAAAGAACUUUGAAAAGAGAGUUAAACAGUACGUGAAAUUGUCAAAAGGGAAGCGUUUGACACCAGUGUUGUUUUUCUCGAAAAUCAAUUAAAAAUGCUUGAUUUGGUGUUGUAUUGACCUUAAAAGCUUUCUUCACUUUUUUCAUGUCUUUUUUAAUGCACUUUUCGUUUAACAAGUCAACAUCAGUUUCUUUUGUUGUAAAAAGGUCAUUGGAAGGUGGCUUUCUUUUCGGAGAAAGUGUUUAUAGCCUUUGACUCCUGCAAUCGGAGAGACUGAGGUCUGCAGCGUAGAUCCUUCUGGAUUAGAUUCAUUUGUGCUAAGUUACAACCGUUUAUAGACAACUUGUUGACUAUAUUCGAUCCCGUAGCUUACUCGCUUAUGUAAUUUUACCUACGCUUAGGAUGUUGAGCGCAUGUCUCUCUCU